GCCGAGAUGGCGGAAUUUGGUAGACGCAAAGGACUUAAAAUCCUUCGGGCAAUAGCCUGUGCCGGUUCGAGUCCGGCUCUCGGUACCA
rnacentral:tRNA from 1 species